rnacentral:lncRNA from 10 species
AUGAUGGCAGUGUUGUCAACCAGAUAAUCAUUCCUGAUGGUCAAGGUGGGGGAUGUCCCGUCCUGAUAAUCCCCUCAUCCAAUAACCAGGACAGAAUUACUCAUGGCUGUGGUAUCUUGUCCUUCCUGAGGUCAAUAAGGCCUGCCUUGAUCAGAACCAAGCAAUUGUUUAUCCAUCAUGGGCCAGUGAUUUCAAGUAUAGAAGAUGCUGGGACCCUAAUUUGAGUCCACUUAAUGGGAGGUAUCCUGGGAAAUGCCCAUAAUUAAUUUGUGUUUGCUUUUCCAGGUUUCCUUAAGCUUCCUAAGUUUCAUAAUGUAUAAGAUAUUUACAGAAUUCCUAAAUUUUUGUAAACAUGCUGUUAUUUCUCCCAUCUUAGAAAAACAGACUAAAACAUCACAACCACGCCCCCACACACAAAAUGCGUAAAAACAAAAAAAUCCUUCACUUAGUUUCUUAUUUCUUUACUUCCCUUCACAGCAAAACUCAAAGGAGUUGUCUAUAUUUGCUGCCUCUCUUUCCUUUUCUCUGAAACCCCAUCUCUACUAAAAAUACAAAAAUUAGCCGGGCAUGGUGGUGGACACCUGUAAUCCCAACUACUCGGGAGGCUGAGGCAGGAGAAUCACUUGAACCCAGGAGGCGGAGAUUGCAGUGAGCUGAGAUCACACCACUGCACUCCAGCCUGGGCGACACGGCGAGACUCUAUGUCAAAAGAAAAGAAAAGAAAAGAAAAGAAAAGAAAAGGACAAGCAAUUCUUCAAUCUUGGGAUAAAUGAAGACAUUGAUUGGAGUGUCAUAAAACUAAGAUGUGAGAAUUUUUGAAUUAGAAUUUUAAUUUUAAUACCUACUUUCAAGAGGAGGUAAGAACCAAAAGUUUUAAAGGGAAAAGACUGAAGAUGAGCAUGUUUCUUUGAAUUAUAAAACUUGGGUUUAAUACCACUAGACUCUAAAUUUCCAACCCUAGUAAUAUGGAAUAUGCUGUUGGAACUCAACGUGGUCGUUUGCUUAACUUUUUGUUGAUAUAAUCUGAAAUGAUAUUAAAUCUCACUGUGGAGCAUCAUAAAAACAACCUAUUUGUCAGAGAAGAGUAGGACAAUUGUCCUAUUAAAUUGGAAAACUGAAAAAGAAAAUUUAAAAACAGACUUCCAUUAUUGCAUUCAUAUGACAAAUACUUUUUGAGUGUCUGUGUCACUGGGCACUGUACUACCUUGUAACUACCUAGGCAGUCGGGGUAGGGAAUCCUCCUUGGGGAAGUACCCUUUGUAAGGCCAGGCACAGAGAAAAAGGAGGGUAAAGAGUGUGCUAGGUAAUAGGUAGAGGACAUGUACAAAUAGAUGGCUACUGAUUUUCAGUUGAUAACUAUGUCUAAUUAGGUGAAUACCAUCUUAUUCUAGCAAGAGUAUCAGAGUGCGUUCAUUCCUGAGGACCCUUUCCCUGGUGUUGAAACAAAUUAUCUCUAGCCUUCAGUACGAAAUAAAUUCCCUUUUGCUACAUUUCUGCCAAAUCUGAAGAAUCACAAUGGAUGAGUCUCAUGCCUAUUUCAAAAUGGUAUAGAGUCUCUGGGGGUUCAGUAUAUUUAACUUGUUUCCUCAUAAGUGUGACUUCAAGAUAUUGUUUCAUGCUGGAAUUGUAAAUUGUGAUUUAUCCAUUCUCUGUAGAAAUAUUAAAUAAAUCUGAAAAAACUCC